rnacentral:misc_RNA from 1 species
AACAAGGCGUACCUGCGGACCUGCGGAGGGAUCAUUACCGAGUUUACAACUCCCAAACCCCUGUGAACAUACCACUUGUUGCCUCGGCGGAUCAGCCCGCUCCCGGUAAAACGGGACGGCCCGCCAGAGGACCCCUAAACUCUGUUUCUAUAUGUAACUUCUGAGUAAAACCAUAAAUAAAUCAAAACUUUCAGCAACGGAUCU